GUUCGAGCCCUCGUCCAUCGCUGCCUUCAUCCAUCUGCUGAUGCUUUCAUCCGUCUGUCUUUCGAUCUUCCCCGAUCUCGACUUCGUCCGUCCGCCGUCGCUCGCCAAGGCCGGGGAGCCCUUCCCCGCUUCAUCCUCCGCUUCCGAUGCCACGCAUCAUCCACCACCCGUAGAACAUUUGCGCCGAUGGCUUUUUCUUCCACAGCACCGUCGAAUCCAGCCUCACCGUCUGUGAUGCCGCUGCCAUGGCCACUGAUGUCGAACCAGAUGAUGCCGGACGAUGGAUCCGAGACGAGAUUCUCCUUCACGGGGGGCUAGAGGAAGAGCUCC
rnacentral:lncRNA from 1 species